AUGCCUGUUCUUUGUUUCUGCAGUCUGGAGGCAAGAGCAGUGCCACAUUGCACUUGGCCCGGGCCGUGUGUCGCAGAGCAGAGCGGAGCGUGGCCCCGAUUGUACGAGCAGGAGAAGCAGAUGCCAACGUAGCCAAGUACCUGAACAGGCUCAGCGAUUACCUGUUCACGUUGGCCCGGUAUGCAGCACUGAAAGAAGGAAAGAAAGAGAUCAUCUACAGGAGGCCAAAGGAAGAGGGAGAGAAAUAACCCAUCUGGGAAAGUCAUUACGUCUGCACCUUGAAGAGGCCACCGUGUAUAUACGAGAGAUGUGGCAUGUUCAGUUUUUUCCUAAGUGUUGUUGCAAUUUACUCAAAAAUGUAUAUCUUUAAUGAAAAUGCAAUGCAUCCUGAUUUUGAAAAUA